UGAGAUUUCAGAGCCUGACAACCCU
rnacentral:miRNA from 1 species